rnacentral:rRNA from 1 species
GGUGGCGCGUGGGACCCGAUCCGGUAGUAGGUAAGCGUGUUAACAGGGGUGACGCAGACAGGUAGCCACCGCGUGCUUAAUGGCAAUGCACGUCCAAGGUUGCAGGGCGGGGUGCAGGCAAAUCCGCACCCCAUAUAAGCCUCAGGACCGAUGGUGACCCCGUAGGGGGGAAGCAGGGUGAUCCUAUGCUGCCGAGAAAAGCCUCGACGCGAGGGACUAGCCGCCCGUACCCGAAACCGACUCAGGUGGUCAGGUAGAGAAUACCAAGGCGAUCGAGAUAAUCGUGGUUAAGGAACUCGGCAAAAUGCCCCCGUAACUUCGGGAGAAGGGGGGCCUGGAGGGUGAAACCCCAUGCGGGUUAGCCCUUGCGGGCCGCAGAGACCAGGGAGAAGCGACUGUUUACUAAAAACACAGGUCCGUGCGAAGUCGCAAGACGAUGUAUACGGACUGACGCCUGCCCGGUGCUGGAAGGUUAAGAGGACGGGUCAACCACUAAGGUGGUGAAGCUCAGAAUUUAAGCCCCAGUAAACGGCGGUGGUAACUAUAGCGAGUGGUGAAGCUCAGAAUUUAAGCCCCAGUAAACGGCGGUGGUAACUAUAACCAUCCUAAGGUAGCGAAAUUCCUUGUCGGGUAAGUUCCGACCUGCACGAAUGGCGUAACGACUUCUCCGCUGUCUCAACCGCGAACUCGGCGAAAUUGCACUACGAGUAAAGAUGCUCGUUACGCGCAGCAGGACGGAAAGACCCCGGGACCUUUACUAUAGCUUGGUAUUGGUGUUCGGUACGGCUUGUGUAGGAUAGGUGGGAGACCGUGAAGCAUUCACGCCAGUGAGUGUGGAGUCGCCGUUGAAAUACCACUCUGGUCGUACUGCACAUCUAACCUCGGUCCGUGAUCCGGACCAGGGACAGUGCCUGGUGGGUAGUUUAACUGGGGCGGUUGCCUCCCAAAAUGUAACGGAGGCGCUCAAAGGUUCCCUCAGCCUGGUUGGCAAUCAGGUGUCGAGUGCAAGUGCACAAGGGAGCUUGACUGUGAGACUGACGGGUCGAGCAGGGACGAAAGUCGGAACUAGUGAUCCGGCGGUGGCUUGUGGAAGCGCCGUCGCUCAACGGAUAAAAGGUACCCCGGGGAUAACAGGCUGAUCUUGCCCAAGAGUCCAUAUCGACGGCAUGGUUUGGCACCUCGAUGUCGGCUCGUCGCAUCCUGGGGCUGGAGUAGGUCCCAAGGGUUGGGCUGUUCGCCCAUUAAAGCGGUACGCGAGCUGGGUUUAGAACGUCGUGAGACAGUUCGGUCCCUAUCCGCUGCGCGCGCAGGAAACUUGAGAAGGGCUGUCCCUAGUACGAGAGGACCGGGACGGACGAACCUCUGGUGUGCCAGUUGUUCCGCCAGGAGCAUGGCUGGUUGGCUACGUUCGGAAGGGAUAACCGCUGAAAGCAUCUAAGCGGGAAGCCUGCUUCAAGAUGAGGUUUCCACCACCCUUGAGGUGGGAAGGCCCCCAGCAGACCACUGGGUUGAUAGGCCGGACGUGGAAGCGCGGUAACGCGUGGAGCUGACCGGUACUAAUUGGCCGACAACUUGCCACAACAACAAAGU